ACAAAAAGCCUUGGCAUCCACAGGAGGAAGAGGUGUUCAGGCGGCAUGUGACUGGUUGGUUGUUCUCCCACGUCCGCGACCCCUUCCUGGAUGACCCCCUGCUCUGGGAGUACAUCCUCUACCUCUGCCCCACUGGCCCCUUAGCGCGCAGAAGCUUUCCUACUUUUGGCAGCAGUCAAAGCAGAUCUGUGGCAAGAACAAGGCGCACAACAUCUUCCCCCACAUCACCCUCUGCCAGUUCUUCAUGUGUGAGGACAGCAAGGUGGACGCCCUGGGGGAGGCCCUGCAGAUGACUGUCAGUCUCUGGAAGUGUAAGUUCUCUGCCCUGCUGCCCCUGGAGCUCUACACCUCCUCCAACUUCAUCGGCCUCUUCGUGAAGGAAGACAGCACAGAGGUCCUAAAGAAGUUUGCCACAGACUUUGCUGCAGAGGUUGCCUCCAAAACUGAAGUGCACGUGGAACCUCACAAGAAACAGCUGCAUGUGACCCUGGCUUACCACUUCCAAGCCAGCCACCUGCUCACCCUAGAGAAACCAGCCAAGAACAUUGAUGUCAAACUCGGGUGCGACUGGGUGGCUACCAUAUUCUCUCGGGAUAUCCGACUUGCUAACCACGAGACUUGCAGGUGAUCUAUCCCUACACCCUGCAGAACGACGAUGAGCUGGAGCUGGUCCCCUGGGACUUCAUCUUCAUGUCUCCCAUGGAGCAGACCAGCACCAGCGAGGGCUGGGUCUAUGGCACAUCCUUAACCACCGGCUGCUCUGGGCUCCUGACCAAAAACUACAUCACCAAGGCUGACGAGCGCAGCACCUGGAUAUUCCACAGUUCUUACUCCAUCUUAAAUGCAUCAUCUUCCAACGCACUCUCAUUUGGGGAUGGCCUGUUGGAGAGGUGGCAGAACGAGGACCAGGGCCUGGGGGACACCACUCCCCUGACGCUCAUCUGCCAGCCCACCCAGCCUGCAGGUCAGCAGCCAGCAUGGUCCUCAAAAGAGAUGCCUGUUUAUGUGUCGGCACGGUGAGAGGAUGGAUGCUGUGUUUGGGAAGUACUGGCUAUCCCAGGGCUUCAAUGCCAAAGGCCGCUACAUACGCACCAACCUGAACAUGCCGCACAGUUGACCUCCGCGGAGUGGCGGUUUCCGAGAUUAUGAGAAAGAUGCUCCAAUCACCGUGAUUGGAUGUAUGCAAGAGAGAUUAGUGGGCGAAGCCUUGUUAGAGAGCAACACGGUCAUCGGCCACGUCUACUGCUCCCCGUCCCUGCGCUGCGUUCAGACUGUGUACAACAUCUUGAAAAGUUUACAAGAAAAUCACUUGAAGAUCCAUGUGGAGCCUGGCUUGGUUGAGUGGACAAAAUGGGUCACUGGGAACACAUUACCUGCCUGGAUACCUCCUUCAGAGUUAGCUGCAGCCAACCUGAGCGUUGAUACAACCUACAGGUAA